rnacentral:rRNA from 1 species
UUCCGGUUGAUCCCGCCGGACCUGACUGCUAUCGGAUUGGUACUAAGCCAUGCGAGUCAUUGUAGCAAUACAAGGCGGACGGCUCAGUAACACGUAGUCAACCUAACUCGUGGACGUGGAUAACCUCGGGAAACUGAGAAUAAACCACGAUAGAUCAUAGUGCCUGGAAUGGCUUAUGGUCCAAACAGUUUACUGCCAUGGGAUGGGACUGCGGCCUAUCAGCUUGUUGGUGAGGUAAUGGCCCACCAAGGCGAUUACAGGUACGGGCUCUGAGAGGAGAAGCCCGGAGAUGGGUACUGAGACACGGACCCAGGCCCUAUGGGGCGCAGCAGGCGAGAAACCUUAGCAAUGUGCGAAAGCACGACUGGGUCAGUCCGAGUGAUUCCUGAUAAAGGAGUCUUUUGCUUGUCCUAAAAGCACAGGUGAAUAAGGGGUGGGCAAGUCUGGUGUCAGCCGCCGCGGUAAUACCAGCACCUCGAGUGGUCAGGACGUUUAUUGGGCCUAAAGCAUCCGUAGCCGGCUCUGCAAGUCUUCGGUUAAAUCCACCUGCUCAACAGAUGGGCUGCUGGAGAUACUACAGAGCUAGGGAGUGGGAGAGGCAGACGGUAUUCAGUGGGUAGGGGUAAAAUCCUCUGAUCCAUUGAGGACCACCAGUGGCGAAGGCGGUCUGCCAGAACACGUUCGACGGUGAGGGAUGAAAGCUGGGGGAGCAAACCGGAUUAGAUACCCGGGUAGUCCCAGCUGUAAACGAUGCAAACUCGGUGAUGCAUUGGCUUAUGGCCAAUGCAGUGCCGCAGGGAAGCCGUUAAGUUUGCCGCCUGGGAAGUACGGACGCAAGUCUGAAACUUAAAGGAAUUGGCGGGGGAGCA